rnacentral:rRNA from 1 species
CAGCAGCCACGGUAAUACGUAGGGUGCAAGCGUUAAUCGGAAUUACUGGGCGUAAAGCGUGCGCAGGCGGUUAUAUAAGUCAGAUGUGAAAUCCCCGGGCUCAACCUGGGAACUGCAUUUGAGACUGUAUGGCUAGAGUGUGUCAGAGGGGGGUAGAAUCCCACGUGUAGCAGUGAAAUGCGUAGAUAUGUGGAGGAAUACCGAUGGCGAAGGCAGCCCCCUGGGAUAACACUGACGCUCAUGCACGAAAGCGUGGGGAGCAAACAGGAUUAGAUACCCCUGUAGUCCCUGUCUCUUAUAC